AGCAACAGCAGCAGCUGGCGG
rnacentral:misc_RNA from 1 species